CUGCAUAAUAUCGCCUAAUAUAGUCAGUGAACGAUUGUUUUCAUUGUUUUGAAAGCGCUUGACUCGAAGCCAGUCUCAGUAAAACGGGGUUUGAAAAGUCUUUUACUUUUUCCCUAGACAAGGAAAAAAAAUUCUCGUCCUAUCCGGAAAUCUUGACCGAAUCCGUGGUGGUCUUGUGGUUUGCCUGCCAAAUCUGCUUGAAAUUCGGACUGCGUGUUCUUCCUGAAUGGCGUGCUAGUCGAUUAGACUCCGACAACUACAACUAUUUCGAUUCUCUGCUCGAGUUGUCUGGCCUUUUCCCGAAUACAGCGACGAAAGAAGGCACAAGCUUUUCCCAUUCCUGGUUAAACUCAGACUAAAUGACGUGCAGAUACGCUUCCUGCAUGAUCCACUCGUCGAGACGAUCGUCGAUGCGGAACCAGCACUCGUACAGACCGGCGUCCUUCCAUGUGACACUGUGGAUCGUCAUCGUCGAGUUGCACUGACCUUCAUAGGCGCCGUACCCAAAGCUUCCAUAAAAUCCCCACCAAUAACUGGUCUUCUCGGCGACUUCCGGAAUUGAUCUGGCGACAAGUAAGUAAUUUCCAGCGCGCCACAGGAAGCGGGUUUUGAGGUAUCCGGGAAGGAAAUUGAAGCGUACCGCGCAGACCAUCUCCGCUGGGUCGCCGUAGCGGACGGUAAUGUUCUUCAUGGGCGGAUUGAAGACGUUGUGGCGGAAAAGGGUCGCGCUGACCCAGUAGCGCUGCGUCGCCACAUACUCGCUCCCGUUGAAGUACUGGCACUCGUACAGUCCUGUGGCCGCGUACGUAAAAUUCGGCAGCGUGAUGGAAAACGCACCCGUGGUCAGAUUGAUCAUUUCGGCCUGCACCUUAAAGUCCGCCGGAUCGUAGUCUGUCGUCCAGUUGCAACAAUAAUUCACCUCCUGCCCCCGUCCCAUGUUUACCGCAAUGCCCUGAAAAACGGGAACCUGCCAUUCGUUGCGUGCGAACGCCGGCGGAUUCCGAAUGUCGUAAGCCUGUUAGUAAUGCAGACAGUUAAACCAUGCUGUAUUUUUUGCCUCGCAAUCGUUAUUAGGAUAAUUAGGGCUAAGAAAAUCUGAUUCGGAAAACCAAAUUAACACGAACACCUAAAGGGCAUUCAAGAAUUGCUAGAUGUGCCAUAACUAAACCGACGAUGCGAAUCUGACUGUGGAAAGCAAACCAACCUAUUCGCCAGGCAAGCGACAUAACAUAAUAAAAUUGCUCUUUCACUACCAAGCACAACGGACGGUAAACAAAGAGCGCAGAAGAGGGGAC